GAACAGCUAAAACAUUUUCUUUUUUUAAAGGUAAAGCCUCAGUCUAAAACCCCUUGAAUUCUCAGCCUAACAUAUGCUGGAUGGCAGAUCGUGUCAGAAGAAGCCUGUAGUCCAUCUGUUGCCAGAUAGCUGAGUCUUUACAUUCUGCCAACGCAGCUUCAGCUGAUGCUCCACUCUAGCUCCCCCCAUUCCCACCAGAGAAAACAAUGGGAGAAUCCCAAGUCUUCACAGUUGUGCUGAAAGUAGCUCGGGGACCUUUGUACGACAUGAAGAACUGGGAACAGCAGAAUACCA